AGAGGUAAAAUGACAAGUUGGUACAAGAUGGCAACAUCUCUGAAGUGAUUUUAUAUCUUUAUUGAAGUGUAAUCAGGUUUAAGUUGACCUUUCCAAUGAGAUUGAGUGUGUGACUCUGGAUCUAUUCGCAGCUCUAACCUGACUGCUCUGCUCUGCUCCCUUCCCUUCUACUCCGGAUUUGGCCAGCCAGGGGGAAAACGAACAGCUGCUGCAAACGUGUUUGACACGGUUUUUUGGGGACGGGGACUUUCUGAUGCCGUCAGCCGCCGGGAUAGGCUCCGUGCUGCACGGCUGGAGCGAGUACACAGUCAUGGCCGAAGACUAUUGGGAGACUCCGGCGGCGGCUUUGGGAUAUUAUUAAAGAUUUAAGGACACACAGGAAUCUUACAUCCUCCCUUGGGGUGACUGAACAGUGGCUGCGUCUCCCUCUUCAUUGUCUCGGCCCCCCCUGCCCCCUCUGAUGGAGCGCGUGAGGAAGAUCAAGCGGCAGCUGUCUAUGACGCUGCGGCGGGGCAACAGCGGGGACAAGAACCUGACCGAGAGCAUCAACUCUCAGGACACAGGAGCACACAGUGACUCAGAGGCCAUGCCAGGCGGGGGUAGUGCCACUCUGCGUGGUUCAGUGAGAGGAGCGGGCGGCUCAUUCAGCAUGCACUCACUCCUGCAGUCCUACAGCAGCGCCCUGCACCGGCCACGCAGCCUGGGCCGCAGCCUCAGCUCCUAUCUCAACCACACCACACGCCUCGAGAUCGUCCAUGAAGAUGUAAAAAUGGGCUCCGAUGGAGAAAGCGAUCAGGCAUCGGCCACCUCCUCGGACGAGGUGCACAGCCCGGUCCGCGUGAGGAUGCGCAACAAUGCAGGGCGCAAAAUUUCCACUGAGGACAUAAAUAAGAGGCUGUCUCUGCCGGCUGAUAUCCGACUCCCAGACAGCUACCUGGAGAAGUUCAGUUUGAACAGCCCGCUGUUUGAUAAACCGUUGAGCAGACGACUGCGAAGGGUCUCUCUGUCCGAAAUCGGUUUUGGGAAGCUGGAAACCUACGUGAAACUGGACAAACUAGGAGAGGGCACGUAUGCCACGGUCUACAAGGGUCGCAGUAAGCUAACCGAUAACCUUGUGGCUCUCAAAGAGAUCCGGCUGGAACAUGAGGAAGGAGCUCCCUGUACUGCCAUCAGAGAGGUUUCCCUGUUAAAGGAUCUCAAACAUGCCAACAUUGUGACUCUGCAUGACAUCAUCCACACCCAGAAGUCUCUGACGCUCGUGUUUGAAUACCUAGAUAAAGACCUGAAACAGUAUCUGGAUGACUGCGGGAACUGCAUCCACAUGCACAACGUGAAGCUCUUCUUGUUCCAGCUUUUGCGAGGAUUGAGCUACUGUCACAGACGCAAAGUCCUACAUCGAGACCUCAAACCCCAAAACCUCCUCAUCAAUGACCGUGGGGAGCUCAAACUGGCUGACUUCGGUCUGGCUCGAGCCAAGUCGAUUCCCACCAAGACUUACUCGAAUGAAGUGGUGACUCUGUGGUACCGCCCACCAGACAUCCUACUGGGCAGCACAGAUUACUCCACCCAGAUCGACAUGUGGGGCGUCGGCUGUAUCUUUUACGAGAUGGCUACGGGUCGGCCGCUGUUCCCGGGAUCCACAGUGGAGGAGGAGCUGCACUUUAUCUUCAAACUGCUAGGGACACCUACGGAAGAAACCUGGCCUGGAAUAACUUCCAAUGAAGAAUUCAUCUCCUACAACUACCCCCGUUACCGUGCCGACUGCCUCCAUAACCACACCCCUCGGCUGGACAAUGACGGAGUGGACCUGCUGUCCAAACUGCUGCAGUUUGAAGGAAAGAAGCGCAUAUCUGCAGAGGAAGCAAUGAGACACUCGUACUUUCACUGUCUGGGAGAGAGAGUUCUCACACUGCCUGAUACUACAUCCAUAUUUGCACUUCAAGACAUUCAGCUGGAGAAGGAGACGACCAUGAGGACGAGCUCGAUGUCUGACUCCGUGAACAGUAUAUCUCAGCGGCAGAGUCUGCUCUUCUGAUUGGCUCAAGUUGUGACCCUGCUGAAAGAAAGAAGAGAGGAGGACGAAUGGAAAAUUGGUCAUCUGCCAAGCGUGAAGGCAUGACUGUGAAGGCGAACGUGCUUCCUCUGAGACACGUGAAGCCAGUCAACUGCAUCACAGAGCAGUGCAACACACUGAGGAAAGUGCCGUCUGCCCUCUUCCACAUACCUGAGCUCACAGACAUUCACAAUUGGUUAACAUCACUGUGAUUAAUGGGUGAAACAAUACAGACAGGUUUUUUUUUGUUUGUGUCUAACUGUGGAUGCAUGCGACAUUGAAUGAAUGAAUGAAUGAAUGCUCUUCUAUCGGGCUAUUUGAAAGCUGUAAUGAUAUUUCAAAGCUUUGUGUUCCAUCAUCUCAAAAUUGUGCACUAGAUUAUCACAAUCUGAGUGGAUUCUAUCUGACUGAGCUGCAUGUGCAAAAGUGAAUCGCUCAUGAUUUGUAGAUGGGGAGGAAUUCUAAAUAGAUACUGUGACUAAAGUCACAGUAAUUUGCGCUAGCUGUUACAAACCGGGACAUCUGGUCACCGUACCCUGUAGAUCCAGAACGGUAAGAGAUAGAGAAUUAUGCUUAGUGAGGAAAAGUUGCACCUUGCUACCCUGAGCAAAAUUAAAAAAAAAAAACUGAUUGAAGAAAUCAAGAAAAUUGGCAGAUAUAUAAGUGAUAUCAAUUUUUCAUGGAUCAGUGAUCCAGAUCAGCACCAAAAGCCAUAGCAAGGUAAUUCAGCCCAGAGGUAUUCUGCUUGGGUGAUUUGGUUAAAAACUGAGGGAGAAAUGGCGUCCUAAAAAAGUUUUAUGAGAAUAAGAAGAAGAAAGCAGGAAGAUCCUGAGUGAGGGUAACAAUUUGUUUCAGCGCUGCUAGCACAAAUAUUAAUAAUUUUUUAGAACUGCAGUUUUGUGAAGAGAAAGAGGUCAGUGGCAGUUAUAAAGAAAUAAAUCAGGUGAAAGGGUUUUUAAAAUGUUUAAAAAGGCUAAAUUUAAUUGAUACUGCUUAGCUUUUAUUCCCUGCUGGUUGAAAGGCCUGAAGGGGGAUUAUGUCGUGGUAAAGUCCGUCCCGGGAAGGGUUCUCACCUUCUGAAAUCAAAUCCUCUCACAGUUUUUGGAGGAAUUUCAUGAAACUUGGCAAAAGGCAUUGUUAUAGGACAGUAAUACGCAUAUUGCAAUUUCAUUUGCAAUAUAUUGUAGCAGGGGAUGUUGUGCUCUUAGAGCACAUUUAUUAUUAUUAUCGCAGCAGCUUUCGGCAUCGCUGCUAUAAAUGCACUUUUUGUUCGAGGGGUGUACAAACUUUUGCACUCAGCUCAAUUAAACAAGUGAUCAAAUAAAAUUUUAAUCCAAGAAAAUAUUUUCCAAGGGAAUUGUGAGAGACUUGCUCUUGUACUCAAUGAGUCAUUACAGGGGUAAAAAAAAAACUUAUGCUUAAAAUUUCUUCACACUUUAAAAUUUUGUCAUUCUUAAAGAAAUUUACAACCUCAAUUCUUCCAAAUGUCACUUUUUAAAGAUUUUUCUAAUAUUUAUAUUUUCUACAGCGCCCUCUCCAUGUCCCCUUCCACACAGCCUCCUGAGUCACAUGAACAGAUCCUACUUUCAUGAAUCUCCUCCACCUCAUUGUCAUUCAUCCCAUGUCUAAAAAUAAGUACGCCUCUCUGUUCAGAACAGUUUAAUAACCUGCUCUUUGUUUACUGCUAUAAGAUUAUAAGUCAUUCCUUAAACGAUGAGUUAUAAAUCUUUGCUCCUUGGUGUGUUUUGUGCAGCUGCUUGGUUUGUCGAUUGCCUUUAGCUUUUCCUCUCGGUUAAUACCAAAGUGAUAUGAGACCUUGCAUGGGUUGGUUUUAAAUCUUCCAAGAUAACCAAAAUGCUGAUCGUUUGUGCUCCUGUUUUACUACUCCGGCCUCACAGUUUCACAACAAAACACAAUUUAUACAUUAUGUUCUGAUGAAACUACAGCGCAGAUAUAUGAAGAGAUAUCUUUGAUCAAUGUUGUAUAUUUGUUUAUUCACUGUAUCAAAAAAUAUAUAUGAU